GGGGAUAGCCUUUCGAAAGAAAGAUUAAUACCCGAUGGCAUAAUUAGACCGCAUGGUCUUAUUAUUAAAGAAUUUCGGUUAUCGAUGGGGAUGCGUUCCAUUAGGCAGUUGGUGAGGUAACGGCUCACCAAACCUUCGAUGGAUAGGGGUUCUGAGAGGAAGGUCCCCCACAUUGGAACUGAGACACGGUCCAAACUCCUACGGGAGGCAGCAGUGAGGAAUAUUGGUCAAUGGACGAGAGUCUGAACCAGCCAAGUAGCGUGAAGGAUGACUGCCCUAUGGGUUGUAAACUUCUUUUAUAUGGGAAUAAAGUUUUCCACGUGUGGAAUUUUGUAUGUACCAUAUGAAUAAGGAUCGGCUAACUCCGUGCCAGCAGCCGCGGUAAUACGGAGGAUCCGAGCGUUAUCCGGAUUUAUUGGGUUUAAAGGGAGCGUA
rnacentral:rRNA from 1 species